GUCUCAGAGCGAGUGACGUCGCCGAUUGAAACGCUAUUAGCGCGCACCACCGCUAACUAACUAGCCAUUUCACAUCGGUUACAUAGGCAACAUCACCUCCGCCACUCUGACCCUCAACACGGGGUGUGUGCUUAGUCCCCUCCUAUACCCCCUGUUCACCCACAACUGCAUGGCCACUCACGACUCCAACACCAUUAAGUUUGCUAACGACACAACAUGGUAGGCCUGAUCACUGGUGGCGAUGGGACAGCCUACAGGGAGGAGGUCAGUGACCUGGCAGUGUGGAGCCAGGACAACAACCUCUCAAUGUCAGUAAGACCAAGGAGCUGAUCGUGGGAACGGAGGGCCCAGCACGCCCCUAUCCACACUGAUGGGGCUGCAGUGGAGCUGGUUGAGCGGUUCAAGUUUCUCGGUGUACAAAUCACCUACACUUGGUAUGGCAACAGCACCGCUCUCGAUCGCAUGGCGCUACAAAGGGUGGUGCAGAAAGCCCAGUACAUCACUGGGGCUGAGCUCCCUGCCAUCCAAGACCUCUAUUUCAGGUGGUGUGAAAGGAAGAUCCGGAAGAUCGUGUAACUCAGUAAAAUCUUUGAACUUGUUGCAUGUUGCGUUUAUAUUUCUGUUCAGUAUAUACACCUUGUUCAACUAUUCAUGGUUUACAAUUGAGUCCACAAUUAGUUGAGGUGUUAGUGAAGGGCUGGAACAAAUACCUGUAAACUCCUGUCCUGUGUAAAAACAACAACAACCGGUAGUUGUCAGGACUACAUUUUCCCUCAUGUACUAAACAAGCUUUUGAGGUUCCUCCUCUUGUUAUGUACCCCACUUGGGGAUGACUUAUUUUGUACAAUGGACUGUGUUCUAAAGACUCAUGCACAGAUACAGGAAAGCCAAUCAGUUAAUAUUUCUUACAAUUACAAGUAUUGUCUCGCCACGGUGUUGAGGCUUGGGCAACUGGGGGCUGCAGUUCAUCUGUCUAAUCCCCUGCAAGCAGAGAAAGGCAUUAAUAAUAUUAGAAUGGUGUAUUCAUUUCAUUUAAUAUAUAAUGAACAAAAAUAUAAAAGCAACAUGCAACAAGUUCAUAAAUGGACAUCAGUCAAUUUAAAUAAUGUCAUUAGGCCCUAAUAUAUGGAUUUCACAUGACUGGGCAGGGGCUCAGCCAUAGGUGGGCCUGGGAGGGCAUAGUCCCACCCACUGGGGAGCCAGACCCAGCCAAUCAGAAUGAUUUUUUCCCACAAAAAGUCUUUAUUACGGACAGAAAUACUCCUCAGUUUCAUCAGCUGCCUGGGUGGCUGGUCUCAGAUGAUCCCGCAGGUGAAGAAGCUGGAUGUGGAGGUCCAGAACUGCUGUGGUUACACGUGGUCAGCAGUUGUGAGGCCGGUCGGAUGUACUGCCAAAUUCUCUAAAACGAUGUUGGAGGUGGCUUAUGCUAGAGAAAUGAACAUUAAAUUAUCUGGCAAAAGGUCUGUUGGACAUUCCUGCACUCAGCAUGCCAAUUGCAUGAUCCCUCAAAACUUGAGACACGUGUGGCAUUAUGUUGUGUGACAAAACUGCACAUUUUAGUGUGUCCUUUUAUUGUCCCCAGCACUAGGUGCACCUGUAACAAUUAUGCUGUUUAAUCAGCUUCUUGAUAUGCCACACCUGUCAGGUGGGUGGAUUAUCUUGGCAAAGGAGAAAUGCUAACAACACCUUUGUAAUAUUGAGUUGCCCUCAAUGAAGGACUUUUAUUUUAAAAACGAACAACAAAUCCCCCUAUUGUGGCUAGCUUCACAUAGGUGCUAGCACUAUCACCUUCAAACUACUUAGCACGUUCACAUACUUGUCAUUGUAUAAAGAAAGAGACGACCAUGGCGAAUUGUGACUAUUUACAAACUCAGCUAACAUCUGUUUUGAACUCGCUUGUUAAAAUUGCGGUCGUAGAACUACUGCGAAUUGUAGAGGAUAGCGCCGUUGAACUUCGUCUGGAGGUGUCCAAGAGUAAAUUUGAGAACGAAGCACUGAAAAUUGAGAACGAAUCUAACAAAAAUAAGUUACAGAGUUUGGAAGCAGAACUGUGGACAGCGGGAAAUCGACCAUGUUCAAUAUGUUAUCGUUGUGUUGGUAUUCCAGCUCGCGGUAAAGGUGGAUGCGUCAGCCCCAAAAGAGAUAGAGAUGCUGCUGGUCCUCCUAAUUCUUCAGAGGAGGACAAUGCAUCAUCAUGGCUGCAACAAUCUGCUCAUACCAUGGAAGAGACUACAGCAGCCAUGGAGAGGGAUGGGAUUCACAUCGUUGUCAUUAAGAACGAAGCGGGGCAUGAAGGCACACAUCGGAAGAAAGACACACAGGCUGGAAGUUCAACAGAAGGUGAGCAGCCGUGUCCCAAAGUGGACAUGGUGUAUGGCAAGGAGUGGAGCCAAAGCCUGUGGCGAGACAGAGAUGCUGUCAAGGAGGACUCUGCAGGACCAUCGGUGACCCAGCGACAGUGGCUUACACCUGGGCAGUCAAGCUCUGUGGACUUACGAAAUCUGCGCCGGCGCCGAAGAGUAAGAACUCAACCGCAUCCGCAAAGGAGAGGGACCUACCUCAGGUACACCCCCGAGCAAAGGGCCAAGAUUGCGCGGAUGUGCAUGGAGGUGGGUGCACAGAUGGCCGCAGCCAUGAUGUCUGAGGAAUUGGGAAGACGCAUCAGCCCCAACACUGUGAGGUCCAUGAGGAUCAGCUACGAACAGACGGUCGAAAGCAUGGGCGUCCAGAAAGUGGAAGACCUACCCCAUUUGAGGCCAUUCAGAACAGACAUGUUUGAUGAGGAGAUUACUCGCUUCGUAAUGGUGAGGAGAAGAGCUGGAGGUCAGGUUAGCCCGUCCAUGCUGAUGGUAGCCACGCGAGACAUUGUGAUGCGCAGAAACCCGGAGAUGCUGGCAGAGAAUGGCGGUCAUAUCCUAAUCAGCACAAAUUGGGCCCGUUGUUGGCUCCGGCGGUUGGCAGGAAAUAGAAUCACGUCAAAGAGGUAGUGAAGAUAUUGCAGGAGUCCUCUACUGUUAGGACAGUGUUUUUACAUGAAUGAGAAUUCCUCAUGUCUGUGUGUUGAAGUUAAGGAAGAUGUGUAACAUUCCGUGUUGACUGGUGUCCGGUGUGAUGUUAGGAGAAUCUGCAUGCAGCAUGUAACUGGAUGCCAUUGUGCUGUGUUCUCUGAAGUUGGUGUUGGCAGUUCAUAUCUUUAGUAUUUACAUUUUCUGAAUAUUCAAACUUUUUGAAGCGAACUAUUCAGAUCAAUGCUUUUCAUAUAUUUCAUAAGGGGAUGGAUGGGUUUGGUGUUAUAACAAUGGUAUGUAACUUGGCUAAUGUCUUGUAUGAGGUAACCACAUACGGUUUUGUUAGCUUUUUAAAUUGGUGUGUAUUGUGUAUAUUGAUGUGUGUAUUGUGUAUAUUGAUGUGUGUGUGUGUAGUGUAAUUGAUGUUAUCAUGCAGGGCUCACCUGCAAAAGAGACCAUGGUAUCAGCAUGACUCCCUGUUUAAAUAAAGGUUAAAUUAAAUCAACUGUAUUAGAAGUUUAUGAAAAUAAAUAUAUAUACACCUCACAAUCCUUAGUGCCUCUUAUGUUUUAUUCAUUUAGUACCGUGAGAGAGAAUGUGUUUAUGCGAUUGUGCUACCACUACAGAGACGCAUCGGCAUAUGCCAUGAAAAAAGUAACAAAUGAAAGCUGUAACAUGUAAUAUGUCAAACACACAGGUCAAGACUGUUUCGGCUCAGAAAAGGCGGAGUGUUUGUGUAAAGAAGUCGGUCAUAGAAGAUGAACCUGCUGACUCAUCAGAUGCUGGUACCCAGGUACAUCAAAAUGGACCUCUUUCAAUUAUUUGUGGUAUAAAAUAGCUGCUUGUUGCACUCAGUGUGAGAGGAAAAAUGAUGCUUCUGAUCAGUCAAGCCCUGAGAGUGAGGCUGAUUACUCCAUCAGAAUCAAGUACAUUUACAUAUACCUGGAAUUUGACUUAGUGAAUAGGUGCUGCCAGCAAUGGACAAUGUACAAACAGAAUACAGACAGUCGACAUACAGAAUAUACAGUAAACGUAAAGCUGAUUUACAGUGAGGAUAUACAAUUUACAGAGGGGAUGGAUAUCUUUAUAUGCAGAGGGAAGGGAUGCUACCAUUACACACACAUACAGUGUUGUGUACAUAGUGCAAAUGCAGUAUAGUGCAGUUAUUAGUAUGAGGUAAUUAAUGGAAAGGUGCAGUGUUGGGCUCAAAUGCGUUGUAUCAGGUACAACUUCAGUAUAUGGAAAUGUGUAGACAGUGUGACAAACGUACCUCUUGGUCUUUCCACAGCACCAGAACACCACUGAGUCCUGUGAUGUGGAGAAAAGUUGUGCAUUUGGAAGUUUUAAACCAGAAAGUUGUUUGAACUUUGAAGAAAACCACUUCUUGACUUCACCAGUCAACAUCAUGGUCCAGAAAUGUGUGAAGCUACCAGGUGCAGCAGCUGUCAUGGACACCCAAUUAGACAAGUCCAAGGACUUUGACAACAUGAACAACUCCGGAAGAAAGAAGAGAGGGAGAAAAAAUGGCCCUUGUAAAGGCAAUGUAAAUUACUGUUUUGUAUGUGGAGAGCCUCAAUCAAAGAUCUCCCGCCACUUGAAACAGCAUGAGAAGGAAAAUGCUGAAAUUGCUUAUGUCUUAAGUCUUGACAUAGCUUCAAGACAGCGGAAAGUGUUGCUGGAGAAACUGAGGAACAAGGGAAAUUUCCAACACAACACUAACGUCGUAAACAAGGGAUCCGGCUGUCUCAAAGUAAAAAGGAAACCCAAACCGAAUAGUGGCGCGAAGAGAUUUGAACCUUGUCUUUACUGUAAAGAUCCGUUUUUCCAAACAAAGGAAGAUGUUAAGGCUUGUGCAGAGAAGACCCGUGCAAGGCUGCAAUCUUUGGAGCCAGCAGGCCAAUCCCAGGCUACAGCUUUCAAUAAAGGGGAAGGCCUAAAAGUUGUUGCCACGGAGAAGGAUGGAAUAAAAGUACUUCGCAUCAAGAAGGAAAUAAAUGAAGGCACAGAACAUGACACACCAUGUCCAAUGACAGGUGAGCAGCCGUGUCCCAAAGUGGACAUGGUGUACGGCAAGGAGUGGAGCCAAAGCCUGUGGCGAGACGGAAAAGAAAUAGGAGACCAUAGCGACAGAACAGAGGAGAAAGAAACUCCAGGACCGUCAAUGACCCAGCAUCAGAACGGAGGUCCACUUCAGUGCAGUAAGCUGAAUCCAUCCACUCCUAACUUCAAAGUCUUCUGUGAUCCUGAACGAGACACGUAUCUCGACUAAUGACUUGAGGGAAUUUCUGAAUUCUGUUCUCCUUGUCACUGACUGGUCAUGACAGAUAGACGGCAACGUUAAGGAUCCUUGUCUUUACUUACUGGUUGGCCCACGGGACCUCCUAUAAAACUGUCUCAGAGACUUUCGGAAUCCCUCUGUCCAAUGCUACCUGACUCGUCCGCGACGUUGUGGACAAACUGGCCAAGCUGUCCCCUCUUCAGACGAGCUGGCUCUCAUGGUGGGUUUCGGGAAACUGGCCCUUCACCGGAGGUUUGAGAAGGCUGUGGGGGGCCAUAGUCGUGUGCCACGUCAGGGUCAAGAUCCCCAGUGCACCAUUCCCCCAACAAUGUCAAGGUGAGAAGCCCCUCCCCACCAUCAACUUCCAAGGGGUCUGCGACCACACAUGCCGCUUCAUCAAUGUCUUCGUGGGGCUGCCUGGGUCUAUGAGCGACUUGAAGGUGCUCAGGCAUAGUCCCCUGUGGAAAAGUGCUCCGAAGCACGACCAGUUUAACCAGCACCGUGCCAUGGCUCUCUUCUACUAACCGAGAGGACCUUCGACAUGAGAAAGUGCUGACACAUCUUCCUCCAGCCCCUCAAGCUCCACCCAAGCUUCAUCCCGAAAGUGCUUGCAAUGUGCACUGUGCUGCAUAACAUCUGCCUCCGGUCCGGGGACGUGCUGGAGCCAGUAAAGGUUGAGGACAGAAACAAGGUGACUGAGGCUCUGAAGGAGUGGCUAGUGUCGAAUGAGACCAGCAGAGAGGCGUUGAGGGACAGUUUGGCUUAACAGAUCUCUACAAUGAAAUGAAUGGCCUCAGUGAAUGAUGUGCAAGGGACAUCUGCACCGGCAAACAUGGCGGCAGUGCAAAAAGAAUAGGCUUACAACAUAGUGGUGAUGGAGAUUGAUUACUUCAGGAGCCCAUAAGCGGUGGUGGAACUGUCACUGCCGACCUUCUACGUUUUUCCUAAAACAAUUUAGCAAAGUCACCUCUCCUAUUCUAAUGCUAAUAUACAGUUCCAUGUAUAAGAUCCUCCACUUUAUUUCAAAUUUUUAUACUGUACAUGGUGAAGUGAAACACGAUUGAUUUUUUUUGUUGUUGGUAUGGUGUGAAUGUGGGACUGGUAUUCUAACUAUUAACUUGUUUUUUAAAAUAAUUGUUAUUACUGUAUGCAUAAUAAAAGCAUCCCCUGUGGUCUGCAGUGCAGCCCUGGAUGUGGUAUGCAUAUGUCUUUGAUAAAGCCUUCUUCAUUGUGUCACUUAAAGGGACAUUUUACCUUAGCGGAAAAUACAUGAUAAGUUCAUUAUGCCAGGCGUAUUUCAAACACUAAUGCAUUGUAUACCAGUGAUGAAACAGACCAAACCAUCCUUGUAUUCUUAUGUCGUUACUGAAUGCUUUUACCUUGUGUGGUGUUCGGGUCUGCGGGACCCAUUUUCAAUGUUUACUAAAAUGAAAAACCUGAGACUCAUUGGCCUUGGCUCAUUUUCUGUGAACAACAUGUAAAAUAACACAUUUUCAUUGAGUGCACACUGUGUACUCCCCUACACAUCUAUAUUACAUACAGUGGGGGGGAAAAGUAUUUGAUCCCCUGACGAUUUUGUACGUUUGCCCACUGAUAAAGUAUCAGCCUAU
rnacentral:lncRNA from 1 species